rnacentral:rRNA from 1 species
UCGACGAACUCUGGUAUUGAUUGGUGCUUGCAUCAUGAUUUACAUUUGAGUGAGUGGCGAACUGGUGAGUAACACGUGGGAAACCUGCCCAGAAGCGGGGGAUAACACCUGGAAACAGAUGCUAAUACCGCAUAACAACUUGGACCGCAUGGUCCGAGUUUGAAAGAUGGCUUCGGCUAUCACUUUUGGAUGGUCCCGCGGCGUAUUAGCUAGAUGGUGGGGUAACGGCUCACCAUGGCAAUGAUACGUAGCCGACCUGAGAGGGUAAUCGGCCACAUUGGGACUGAGACACGGCCCAAACUCCUACGGGAGGCAGCAGUAGGGAAUCUUCCACAAUGGACGAAAGUCUGAUGGAGCAACGCCGCGUGAGUGAAGAAGGGUUUCGGCUCGUAAAACUCUGUUGUUAAAGAAGAACAUAUCUGAGAGUAACUGUUCAGGUAUUGACGGUAUUUAACCAGAAAGCCACGGCUAACUACGUGCCAGCAGCCGCGGUAAUACGUAGGUGGCAAGCGUUGUCCGGAUUUAUUGGGCGUAAAGCGAGCGCAGGCGGUUUUUUAAGUCUGAUGUGAAAGCCUUCGGCUCAACCGAAGAAGUGCAUCGGAAACUGGGAAACUUGAGUGCAGAAGAGGACAGUGGAACUCCAUGUGUAGCGGUGAAAUGCGUAGAUAUAUGGAAGAACACCAGUGGCGAAGGCGGCUGUCUGGUCUGUAACUGAC